AAUCAACGCUGGCGGCGUGCCUAACACAUGCAAGUCGCACGAGAAAGGGGAGCAAUCCCUGAGUACAGUGGCGCACGGGUGAGUAACACGUGAAUUAUCUACCUCCGAGUGGGGAAUAACUGAGAGAAAUCUUAGCUAAUACCGCAUAACACUUACGAGUCAAAGCAGCAAUGCGCUUGGAGAGGAGUUCGCGGCAGAUUAGUUAGUUGGCGGGGUAANGGCCCACCAAGACGAUGAUCUGUAUCCGGCCUGAGAGGGCGCACGGACACACUGGAACUGAAACACGGUCCAGACUCCUACGGGAGGCAGCAGUGGGGAAUUUUGCGCAAUGGGGGAAACCCUGACGCAGCAACGCCGCGUGGAGGAUGAAAUAUCUUGGUAUGUAAACUCCUUUCGAUGGGGAAGAUUAUGACGGUACCCAUAGAAGAA
rnacentral:rRNA from 1 species